UACGUAGGGGGCAAGCGUUGUCCGGAAUCAUUGGGCGUAAAGAGCGCGUAGGCGGCCCUGUAAGUCCGCUGUGAAAGUCAAGGGCUCAACCCUUGGAUGCCGGUGGAUACUGCAGGGCUAGAGUCCGGAAGAGGCGAGUGGAAUUCCUGGUGUAGCGGUGAAAUGCGCAGAUAUCAGGAGGAACACCGAUGGCGAAGGCAGCUCGCUGGGACGGUACUGACGCUGAGGCGCGAAAGCGUGGGUAGCGAACAGG
rnacentral:rRNA from 1 species